CCCCGGUCAGUGGAAAAAGGCACACGCACCUAUGUAGUGAUCUUCCUAGUGCAAAGUCCAGCCUUCCAGUUCCAAACUGCUCACAUUCAGCAAGCUGCUGCUAUAGCAGGAGAUAAACCUCCUAUUGCCCAUUAGCUUGCACAGUCCUCUUUGGGCUAGAAGAUGCUGUGCAAAGGAUAAGAUACGUUGUUAAUACAGCCAGUUUUCCAAGGGUGCUUUAUGAGUGAGGUUAUUUUUAUUCUUCGUUGUUUUUCUAGCUCACAAAAAUGUCAGAUAUCCUCCAGAGUACAAUAGACUUUAGCCAUGCUGCUCCUGCCUGUUUCCAUUCAUCUCCUUAAUAGAAUGAGUGAGCAGUGACCUGUCAGCACUCUGCAAUAUCACCAUCCUUCCUGAACCAUGUGAGUGACAAGGCAGACGCUUUGGGUUUUCCUUCCCAAAAGGAAAGGACUUCAGGAAAAGUGAAUGAAGGCUCCUGGAUGCAUGGGUGGAUGCAAGUCAGUACCUGCAAUCAUCAAAAUCCUGCAAGCAGCACAGGGAGGCAGCUGAUGCCGGCUGGCUGCUGCCAAACAGGUCCGGCCUCUGCAGCUGAGGCUGCUCAUGGUACUUCAGCAGGGCGAUGAAUCAUCCCUCCCCUUUAGUAAAGGUGAUCUCCUGGGAUGCUGUGACCCCCUCCCUGCUCAGAUUUGUCAUCAGGACACCACAGCCCUGGAACCUCAAGCUUGAGGAGCAUCUGGAAAGGAAAUCAUAAAGUUCCUGGGUCUCUGUCUGUGGCUUCAGCUAUGACUUCAAACACCCCCCUCCUGAAAAGCUGAGAGAUGUCAAAGUGCAAUGUUUGCAUUUAUUACAUGAAGUCUACUUGGACCUGUUCAUCCCCCACAUUUCCAUUUCUUUUUUUUUUCUUUUUUUUCUUUCCCCCCAAGGAUAACUGUUAAAGAAAUGAGAAAAUCUUGCUUGAAGUUUUAAUUCUUGCUGCUCCAAUGUCCCCCUCCCCCCCCCCCAUGCUCCCUACAGCAGGUGUUGCAGAGGUGAAAGCAGCACUCCUGUGAAGCAAGACAAGGAACAGCUGAAGUCACCUCCAUCCUUCUCAAGCAUCUCAUAACCCAGAAGCUCCCAUGUCUCUCCCAUCUUGCAGCCUGAAAACACAGGCAGCCUCUGCUUGCUCUGUUGGGCCUGACAAUGAAAGAGAUAGUGGGCACAGUUUCUUGGUGCAAGUAAGAGCAUAGCACCACUGUAGAAACACUAAUUCUAGCUGUGGUGGAAAGAAAAGGAAAAUCAAACAAGGAAGCAAGCACACACACACACACACAGCUCUUUGCAGUGCUGGAGGGUUUGGUUGUGUUUGAGUGUUUUCUCGGCCCCCAGUUCUCCCAGCACAGCCCCAUAGCUGGGUGCCAAGGAGCAGCACGGUGCUGCCAGCUGGAGCCUCACAGGGUGAUGCA